rnacentral:lncRNA from 1 species
CUACAAACAUAGUUAUUAAAUCGUUAACACUGCAUAAAAACAUUUCUCCUAGAAUAGCUGUUAAUACGAAUAUGAGAGCAUAUUAUCAUAUUGUUGACAAUUUGAGUUAAAUAAAUAUUAUUAAUUUUUUGGGAGUAAAAAAAAAAAUUGUAGUAAAUUAGUAUACUUUUUGGGUGAAUUUAAGCAAAUAAACAUUUUUCAUCAUCAAAUAUCAACAAAAUUUGUGUAGUUAACCAUAAAUCAUACUCCAAUAUACAACUCUCUCUAUUUAUAUACUUAAAUGUUUUCUACUUUUUGGGUGGACGAUUAGUACUUGUUGUUCAGAGAGGAGGGGAGGGAAGAAGGGUAAGCUUUUUUGUCAGAGAAAGAUAAAAGAGAAAGAGAAAAAGAGAAAAGAGGAGAGUGAAAGAGUUGGGGGGUAUGAGUGUCUUUUAGCGGUUGUUUGUUUAGCGUAGACGUGGUUGCAGCAUAAUAGAAUAGUCAUCUUAAUUCACGUCAGGAAAAUAUGCC